rnacentral:rRNA from 1 species
CCAUUGUACGCUUUGGAAACUGGAGGACUUGAGUGCAGAAGGGGAGAGUGGAAUUCCAUGUGUAGCGGUGAAAUGCGUAGAUAUAUGGAGGAACACCGGUGGCGAAAGCGGCUCUCUGGUCUGUAACUGACGCUGAGGCUCGAAAGCGUGGGGAGCAAACAGGAUUAGAUCCCCUGGUAGUCCACGCCGUAAACGAUGAGUGCUAGGUGUUAGGCCCUUUCCGGGGCUUAGUGCCGCAGCUAACGCAUUAAGCACUCCGCCUGGGGAGUACGACCGCAAGGUUGAAACUCAAAGGAAUUGACGGGGGCCCGCACAAGCGGUGGAGCAUGUGGUUUAAUUCG